rnacentral:lncRNA from 1 species
UGGACUAGCAUUACCUUAAUGCCCUUGGACAUUUUUCUUAAAGCAUGAAAAGGAGGAGCAUAUUACCUCCAGUGGAAAAGGAGAAAGAAUAAUUCUGUAAGUUGAAAAAAGACCCCAUCACAAGGACAGCCUCCUAAUUCUUAUAAAGUUUUUCAUAGGAUUUUAUAGUUCCUUUUGAGAAAACCAAUAAAACAAAAGAGCAAAAGCCCACUUUUCCUUCCACGUGGGGAUCAUUGGAUUUAGAUCUGCUUCAGAAUGAAGACUCAUUGCAUCAUCUGUACAGUGCUUGGGCUUUAUUAUAGCUGUUUGUUGUAAGUAGAGACUUAGCCAUAUUUUAUGAAGCUCAUAGUGACUGACAGAAUCAAUGUCAAAGGAAACAACCACCUGAAGUUGAUCUUAUUUUACCAUGCAGAAUACUUGUGGAAAAGGGAAGAAAACUUUUUGUCUUUUGCUGAAACAGAAGCCCCCAGUGAAAGUGUGGGUAAGGAAUGGAUUGAAGAGGAUCAAGAUAAACUUUUGUGAUGUGACUUCUCUCAUCACCAGGGAGUUGACAGACCCCCAGAAGAGUCUCCAGGUUAAUGCAGCAGCAAGAGCAAGCAUAGGUGAGGGUACCAGAGGCACCUCCCAGACAAGGCCUCAGAGAAUGAAAGAGAAAUUAUUUAUUACAGUCUUUUUAGGGAAGGAGACUGCCACACGGUACAGAUUGGUAAUGAAAGCAUGCACCACUUUUAAUAUUCUGUUUCCUGUGCAGGUAACAAAAUCUUAAAGGCAUCCUGAAAUCCACAUAAGAACUCAACAUUUAUUAAUCAAAGAACUUCAUCAGAAUUUUAAAAAUUCUCAUCACAGUCUCAUCUGCAUGUCUGUAUAUGAAGAAAGAGUAUUUUCCAAGAAGAGUUUGUAUGUACAAGACAGUCUCAUAAGGAGUGAAGACAUUUUAUGUUGAUAUCAAGAGUUAAAUUGUAGGCUUAUUUUUGUCAAAUUUGUGUAUUAAACAUGUAAAGUAAGGUAAGGUCAUGAUGUAUCUGAAAUGUGGCAUUCUAUGCUUUUGAAUACAAAGAGCACAAGACAAAAAAAAUAUUCUGGAUGAAUUCAAGAGAAAAGUAGCACUUUCCAGUGCUUUCUGUUCAGUAUUCUUGGUACCGAAAACCAAACCAAACCACAGUGAGAUGCUUAGGUCAAAGGUUUUCAAAUUAAGGAUGCUAUUGUAAAACCAGAGUCCAUAGUGUUGAAUCUCAUGUGCUGUCAUAUCUAAGGGUUUGUAACAAUUACAAAAAUAUUAAAAUAAAUUUUGGAGAGAAAUAAAGUUUUUUCCAACCUCUGAUUCAAGAGGUUGUCUAGUGAUGAUUUUUGGUGUUCUUUCUUUUGAAUGUUUCCCAUAAAAUUGGUAAUAUAGGGAGUUCAUUGCCUAAUUUGUUCAAAGGGCUUCCUUUAGUAUUGAAAUAUGUUAUUUUAUAAAAUAAUAUAGACGGUAUGUUUCAGUGUUCAGUGUUGCACUUUACAAAAUAAAAACCCAUUUAUGGGUCCCACUUUCACUUUAAAAUUUUUACCAUUCUCAGAAAGCCCAAAGUUAUGUAACUAACUCAACCUAAAAGUCUGUCAUUAUUGCAGGUCAGCCAAUUGUGUUCAAAAGAAAUAUGAAAAAAAUUACAAGCUGCAACACCCCAAAGACAGAUAAAACCUCAAACACCCUUACAAUGAAGUCAUACUAGAAAAAUAAAUCAGUAGUUAAAACAAUAGGAUAAAGCUUUUAGAACAGUCAGGAUUCUGAAGAGAAGCUUGAACUGUCAACUUUGCAUUGUCACUAACAUCUAUGAUUUAUUUAGUGGAUCCUGGAAAAAAUUUGUUUAAAUCUAGAGUAUUUGAAAUGAAAACAAAACAAUCCUAACAUUUCCACUAUUAGGAAAUGAUAUUCUUGUUACUAUAUGUUGCCUAAAAUAUGAAUAAGUGUGUACCUUAUUAUAAUAUAGUUAUUUCUAUGCUAAGUCUAUAAUGCUAAAGCUACUUCUAUUUUAUUUUUUUAAAGAAGGUAGGGAUUCCUUUGAAGUGUGACAAUUUCUGUCUGAGUCAUCCUGGAAGAGAUAGGUCAUUCAGAAAACUAGGAGUCUCUGAAAUUAUUUAAAAAUGUUUAUAGUGGAAGUCUGUAGGGAGGAGAUAAGGGAAUAGAGUGGGCUUUUGGGGUUUAGUCGGGGAGCUAAUGCUUCUUAAGAACCAGCUUGCUACCCUAGGGUCCAACUUUCGCUUUGUCAAAUGGACCUGUGCAUUCUGCAUUUAUUCUUCCUUUGCUCUCUUUACUAGUUUAACAAAUCCCAUCUGAAAUUUCUGGCGUGGUUCCGUUGGUGCCAUGAAUGAAUGACCGAUCUAACUAACCAAAGGGCCUAGAAAGGACUAGUUAAGUUUACAAGGCAGUAGGGGAGGAGCACAUCCCAGGCCAGCGUGAUGGUGGCGCUAGGACUGAGACAAUCGGAAGAAGAUCAAACUCAGGGGGCCGGAGCCAUAGUAAGUGUAAACUGCUUCUUCCUACUCAGUAAGUUUCCUUGUAGUACUGAUCUGGGAGGAUUUAGAUGAUAGAACUGGCUACAAGUUUCUGGGACUAGGACAAAAUGAAAGCGCCAGGGACCUGGGAGUCAAUGGCCCCUUCCCACAGGCCUGUCGUGCAGUUUGCUGCACAUGGCCCUAGUCCCUGCUGCUCACAAGGGGUUGACAGAGCGAGCCCCCCCGAAGGCAACGCUACUGUCCCAGCCCGAGACGCAGGCGCACAGCUGUCUGGAAACCUCAUGGCACUCAGGUCUCUGGCUGAGGGCAGACGGGAAGCUUGGGAGAGAGGACUGUGAUUUCUUUCACGGAAGUCGAAGGGGUAGCUACCCCAGGCAGAGGGGGAGGAUUUUGAGAUGGUCUACACAGCUGAGGCGGCGACACCUGUGAGAGGUCUCUUGUCACAAGCCUAGGAAGCCGGCUGCAGAAGUAGGAUCUGUUUUAUUAAAAAAAACCCUGGGCCUUUGCAGUUACAUAAUGGCCAUGAUCGUUUUUCCCUAAACCUUUUUCCCCAUUAUUGUUUACUUUUCUUAAAUCCAUUUGCUCUAAUAGAGUGAGGACAUCAGGGCUUGUUCACCUGAAGCAAGGAUCUGUUUUUUUCGGUUUCCGUUUUUUCAAGAUGAACGAUGAAAACUUAAUCAUUUUCACUGCAGAAGAAUACAGGCCCCUAGAGGUUCCCCAGGCUACAAAGUUAGGAAUUGUCCUGUGGGCAAAUCACUCCUUCUCUGAUAGGGACCUAUGGAGCCUCUGUUCUUUACCACCUGAAACAGCCUUUGAGGGGUCCCUUUUGGACUUCUAUGAUGAUUUCUUUCUACCCAAAUGUAGGAUUGCAGGGCUAAAACGUAUAUGAAUACUUAAUAUAACUAUCCUCUGCCCGGCUGCUUUCCAAAUGGCUGUGUCUAUGUUCCUAUCAAAACUUCAAUCCUGUCCCUAUGUGCUUACCAGUCCCUGGGGUCACUACCAGUCCUUGGCUUUCGCUCAAAAAUAGUCUGAUGGAUGUAACUGACACAUUAUCAUUUAAUUUUUUCUGUAAUUAGUACUGAGAUUUCGCACCUCUUUAUAUGCUUUUUAGUUUUUUGGUUUUCCUCUUAUGUGAAUUGCAUGUUACUAGCUUUUGCCAACUUAAAAAUCCCAUUUUCUUGUUUAUUUGAUUGUGUGAAGUUUUAUCAUACUUUCACAUACCUUAAGCUUGAUAACUUCUUGAUUUUCAAUAAAUUCUGCCAAUCUGUGACUUGAGCAUUAACUUUUUCCAUGGUGUUUAUGUUAUUUAGGAGGUAAUGCUGACAUUUGUAGCAUAGCCCCAUAUUAACAAGGGAUCAAACAAAAAUUUCUCUUUCAAGCAGAACUCUGGAAGGAAAUUAUCCUUUUUUUCCCAUUUCUAAGGUAUUGUUUGUUUUAACAUGAUGCAAAGUGUCUCUCACUGGCCAUUGGGAAGCAAAAAGAGAGAGAAAAGGGCAUGACAUAGAAAGCACACACACUUUUGGAAGUUUCCUUUCAUUUCAUGGGCUAUAAGGUAGACAGACACAAGGCCAUAUCUAGCUACAAGGGAGGCUAAGUUAUGCAGUCAUUAUUCAGGUGAUCAUGUUCCCACCUAAAAUUCAGACAUUCUUUUAGGGUUAGAGACAAGGGAGAAUAUAUUUCUAAUACUGUAUACCAUACAUCCUUUAUGAAGCAGAAAUCU